GUGUGUGUGUGUGCAUGUGUAUCUGUCCCUUUUUAUACAGUUGGAGUCUUUGAAUAUGUGAGUAGAGACAGUCACUGGGAAUCCCUUUAGUAGAGAUAAGGGGCAGGAUUCCUGGGGUCUUUGAGCUUCAUCAGAUAGUACUCCUAGGACUGGGGACAUUAGCUAAUCAGCUCUUGCAAUGGAACAAGGACACCAUUCUAUUAGUUCCCACAUAGGGAAUUAAGGCAAAAGGUAUUUCCAGGUCACACACCUAGUAGAUAACAAACUCCCACUUACAAAGGUCUCUAUGAUGUGGCAAAUGUUGCCUAACUAGCAGGUGGAGUGAUGCUGUUUCAGUGAGAAUGAUGUUUAUGUCAAUUUUAGGUUCACCUGGAUUUCAUCUGUACAGGAAGAUUUCAUUGGUACUGUUUUCAUAGGUGGUCUGGCUGCUGGCACAACACUUCUGUCCCAGAGCUGUUAGCAGUCUGCCAGGUGGAAAGAGAAGCUGGGUCACAGCUGGCAAGUUUGAAGGAGCCUCAUUGCCUCACCCCGCCAGACAAUGACUUAAUGGAUUUGCUGCUAGGAUUUACAGAGCAGGAAGGUAGCAAGGGCUUCCCCUUUAGUAGGGGAAAGGUUAAACUGCUUAUUGGGAAAGCACAGAGGGAAGGGUGGGGAGGAUCCCUUGUGACUCUAGAAUCCCGGCUCAACAGGAUAGAAAUAAGGGCCAAAUAUGUUUUAGAGGGAAACUAUGAUCCUUUUACUUCCCUCCUUUCAUUUUUCCCUUUAUUCUUUUCCUCCCCUAUCCCUUUCCUCUCUGCCUGCAAAUUUGACUCCUGAUAUGUGUUAGGAAGCCACGAUUAUCUAAGCAUUCUUUGUAUCUAAUCUGGUUCUGUGUCCAUCAAGUUAAACUUGGGCCCACUCUAAGCGAAGACAAUGCUAAAUCAUAUCAGUGAACUGUCUUCUAUAGUCAAAGUUUAAAACUUUUGUUAGAUUCUUCCCUAAAGAGCCAAAGUAUUAAGGAAUGAGGAUGGGAGAUGGAGAAAGAGUUACACAAUCUACCUUUUAAAAGUUACCAGGGAAACUGAGGCUGGAGCACGCUGUGGGCUCAGGAGUCGCGGUCAGUCUGAGCAACAUAGUGCAUCCUGCCCUUCAAAAAUUGUGAGACGUUGGAAGCUUUGUUUUAUUAAAUUUAGCAAAGUGGAAACAUCUAGUAGAAAACUGAGGGAAAAAAUCAUGUGAGUUUCAGAAUUAACUAAAACCCCUACUGCUCGUUACUCAUCAGUUGUAAAAUCAUAUAAAGUGUUUGACUUUCUAGUUUUCCCUCCAGAGUAAAACUAGACCUAUCUUAGAAUCAUUUACUUGAUUAGGUCACUCCUGUUGUUUGAGUGUCUCCAUGACGUCAUCAGUUAGUGGAAGCUGAAUUGGACUCGGCAUGCUUGCCCCCAGAGUGAAGGGAAGCCACAAAGUGCACUAGAACAUGAUGACGUAGAUGAUAGCAGCUUCCCUGAUGAACUAGAGCGUAUUUGUAUGCCCAAAAGCAUGAGAAGAACACACAAAGGAAACAAACCACCCUGUAUACAAAGGGCAGAUUAUGUGUGUCUUUUCUCUCACUAGAAACAGUUCCUUUAUGUAAUCGUCCUUGUUGGCCCCUGUGUGGGUGGAACGCGACUUCCUGUGAAGAGCUAUUACACACAUUGGCAGUUUUUACAACGGUUUUAGAUGAUUUUAUAUGAGAACAAAGCAAUUACAACGAGGGUCUCAAGGAGCUUCUGCAACAAACUUUGAUCGGAGGAUCUGGAAGUUCACAAAUGUUAGAAAUGGAAAAUGAUGGUGUUCUGUUCUUUGCCCCUCAAAGAGUCACUGCUAUUGCCCCAAUGCUUUCUGGUUGCUGUCCACAGGUCAGUCUUCCUGUGGCUGUACAUCCCUCCCACUCUCUGCUUCUUCCUCAUCUCCAAUAAGCUCAACACCCUUUUGCACACCAGCCUCAUCUGGGGUCUUCAAGCUUUUCCGCCCCUACAUUUGCAGAUGGAGGGAAUCAGAAGCAGAAGGCAGAUUAUUAUUUGCACCCAGGGCAAGUCAACACAACAGAAUCACCAGGAUAGAGCACUGUAUUUAUUAAUUUAUUGAGCUUUAUUUGCUUUUGGUCCAUCUGAAUGAACUGAAAAAAAAAAGACUCAGUCCAUUUCCUUUCCUGUCAUUUGUAAGGUGAGAACAGGUUGCGCAUUUUCUUUUCUUGGAUAUU
rnacentral:sRNA from 1 species